ACGUAAUUCAUGGCUAAUUCAUAGAAAAAUAUAGUAUAUAAAGAUAUAGUUUCUUAAGAACGGAACAGAUGCUGGAGAAAUCGGUAGGUCAUCCAUGCAAUACGUAAGAUAUAUGGUCUCUUAUUCAUCUCAUUGCAGUGUCAUGCUGUUUCAUUGGUCACUAUAGGAUUAGAAUCAAUGGACUGCGCUUAUGCUGCUGUCAAUAACUCUGUCUUCGUACCUACGAACUCUUCAACCAGACGAACAGAGCUAGCUGACACAGCUUUAACUAAUGUUUUAGUACGGGUAGGAUGAAUAAAGAGACUGAGAUAAACUGGGGAACGACUGGCCUAUCUCAGCAAUGCUUGGCAAAGAAAAAGGAAAUUUCAUCGAAGCCGUCGAUCAUAUGUUAAUAAUCAUUUAGAUCGCAUUCUCGACAAUGAAACAAAAAUGUGCGAUUUGCGCUAUGUGGGUACUACGAUCAAAAACGAGAAACAUUACUCCGCUCCUAAAGGAACAGGCAGCACAGCUAAACAUUAGAGUAGAUGAUAGCUUACCCUACGCAUGUCAAAAAUGCCGCAACAAAUUGUAUAAUGCGAACCCACGAAACGAUUCAAGAAAACCCGAAUUUCAUUACAUUGAUAUAAAAUCAUUUACAUCUGUCGAAUCCAAAAUCAAAACAGAAUUAAAUACCAGUACAGAAGAAAUGAAUAUUGACGCAGAAUCGGAUUUCAGCGCAGAAUCAGACGUCAGCGUAGAAUCAGACAUCACUCCCGACAAUCCUACACCUUUGAAUGGUGCCGAUGAAAUCCUCAUCCAACUAAAGGACAAGUUUGCUAAGUGCGAUGAUAUUAAUGAGAAAUUUCGAAUUCUCACAACUUUGCCUAAAAGUUGGUCUUCGUGUAGAAUUCAAAAGGAAUUUAAUACUUCACAAUGCAUGGCUGACAGAGCAAAGAAACUGCAGAAUGAACAGGGCAUAAUGAGCACACCCGAAGGAAACUUGAGCAAAGGGCGAAGAAAUAAUUAAAUGAACAAUAUGUAUAUUUCUCUAAGAUUACUGCCUCAUUCCGAAUAAGUUUUGGUUGCCAAUCCAUUUCGUUAAUAAAUAGAAUUAUGCUCUAAUAAUUUAUCGAGUACAGUUCAAUUGAGAGAUCAAUAUUAUUG